AUGAUGGCGGAGCGCAGCUCUCCAAGCACUUCUGAGUGCACUCUGUCCUGGAGAGAGGAACUGGUUCACCUGGUACGAAACCCUCCAAGAGAGAAACCUGGACCUAAGCAGGUGACCUGGGCAGACCUGUGCUACAGAUUGCCCAUAGAAGCCAAACCCAUCCCUGGACGGCCCAAGGGCUGCAUGAAGGUCACCAAAACCAACUUUGACUAUAAAGAAGAGCCUUACUGCAGCCUUCGGAGCCAGUCGAGGCCGCUUCCCUCGCCCUGGAGAGAUGAGGUGAGGAGCAGGUGGAGCACCCCUGGAGCUCCGGAGAGAGGGAUGCUGUCCCGUCUGAGACACAUGCCCACCACUGCGUCCAGCGGCAUCCUGAAGGCCUUCCUGAAGCUCACGGAGACGAAAUGGGAGCAUCUGGCUGAGACGGGGACGUUCCUGGUGGAUCCCGUCAGGGGUCCGGAGCCGGGGAGGGUGGCGUGGCCCGAUACACCCAUGAUCCAGAGACAUUACACGCCUACUGUGGAAAGAAACCUCCAGGAGAUACUCCAGCAGACCUUAAGAGAAGCAGAUCAGCUGAGGGAAACGGCUCUUAUCAAGCCUGGGAACUCUGCCUUGAGAAGCUGUGGGAUCUGGCUGAAGGAGAAGGUGCUGGGUCACCCCACGCCCGAGAAGAGCUGCCUAAAACAAGCCAAGGCCCAAAGCCUCGAGGCCGAGGAGGUCAGGACUUGGACGCUCAAGCAUUCAAAUGUCUACAAUUCAGAUCUGGUGGAUCCCGUGGGAGUCGAACCCGUGAGCCUGGCGUUGCAAGCGCCACACUGCACCACUGAGCUACAGGCAGAAGAGUUAACCAUCCUGAAGAACACAGAGAGACUGACCGAUGACCACACGUCUGUCCACGCAUCUCAGCCUGUCCGUUAUAAUUAGACCACUCAUCUCGUUUAUGAAAGUAUUCAGAAGGACGGAUGACGGGCGCUUGGAUAAAGUCUGUGAUUCUAUUAAACAGUGCGAGAGGAUGUUAAAAAUAAAUCAUAUAAAACAAAAAUAACA
ensembl:lncRNA